UUGGGGGUUAGGGUUAGGGUUUGCCCUGGUAAUCUGAGACCAAACUUCAGUGAUAUUACCUCACAUCCCAAAACAAACCAUGGCUUCUUCUAAUAACACGGACACCUCGAGGUCCCCAAGGUAGUAGGGUUAUAUAAAGGACAGAAAGAAAGAGGGAAAGGGCUGGAAAGAGAGGCCGAUCCCGCCCAGGUGCCGCCGGAGGGGCGGGGAAAACCAAGGCGGAUGACAGCCGGCGGGAAGGACCUCUCUCUCUCUUACUCACUCUCGCCUUCGCCUCUGUAGCAGCCAGGCCAGCGAGCAGGAGAGCGCGCUCAGUGCCGGCAGCAGGGAGGGAAAGUUGGGAACUUUGGCGCGCCUUUUUCCACUCUUCUUUCUCUUCGGCUUCCCUUCCCGAAGCAACGCCUGGCCGCCUCUGAGGAAACCGAAAGGCCCUCUCGUGUGGGAAGAACCUUCCGAGGCAGGAAUUGUGCCCUUCACGGCAGCAGUAGCAGCACACAGGCGAGAAAAGAAACUCAAGGGAAGCCCCGCUUCAUGCCUCCCAAUUGGCGGUGACGGAGGAACUCGCAAGACACCAAUUCUGCAUAUUUAUAGCAGAAGACAGCUGUGUACAGCACCAAUUGGUGUGGAAACUACUGACAAGCCAUCUGCUACUCCACCCAGAAGACUUUUUCCAGAGACUGUUUGGCAAAGCUUGAAAACCCAUCAAAAGCUGGCAAGAUCCACACAGAAGUUCCCGCUGUAUAAUCCAGGCCACAGUCAAAACAGGGACCUUCGCCCUCCCAGACCCUCUUCCAGGGGGUCACUAUGGAGCAGAUCAGCAACUUUUUCAGCUCCAUGUGGACCUUCAUCCUCACCAAGCAUCAACAGGGCAUCUACAACACGAUCUGCCUGGGCGUGCUCCUGGGUCUACCUGCCCUCGUCCUCCUCCUUGCCAUUUUUGUCUGUUGCCACUGUUGUUUCUGUGGCCGGCGGCAAAAGAACAAUGGCAGCUUCGUCAGGAGAAGCCCCUCUCAGGGGACAAAAAGAAAUAAGAUGA
rnacentral:lncRNA from 11 species